UACGUAGGGGGCUAGCGUUGUCCGGAUUUAUUGGGCGUAAAGAGCUCGUAGGCGGCUUGUCGCGUCGAAUGUGAAAACUCGGGGCUCAACUCCGAGCUUGCAUUCGAUACGGGCAGGCUAGAGUUCGGUAGGGGAGACUGGAAUUCCUGGUGUAGCGGUGAAAUGCGCAGAUAUCAGGAGGAACACCGGUGGCGAAGGCGGGUCUCUGGGCCGAUACUGACGCUGAGGAGCGAAAGCGUGGGGAGCGAACAGG
rnacentral:rRNA from 1 species